GAUGAACGCUGGCGGCGUGCCUAACACAUGCAAGUCGAACGGACAGAUAUGGAAACCUAGUGAAAUAUCUGUUAGUGGCGGACGGGUGAGUAACGCGUGGAUAACCUGCCAUAUACAGGGGGAUAACACUUAGAAAUAGGUGCUAAUACCGCAUAAGCGCACAGCUUCGCAUGAAGGAGUGUGAAAAACUAAGGUGGUAUAUGAUGGAUCCGCGUCUGAUUAGCCAGUUGGUGAGGUAACGGCUCACCAAAGCGACGAUCAGUAGCCGGCCUGAGAGGGCGGACGGCCACAUUGGGACUGAGACACGGCCCAGACUCCUGCGGGAGGCAGCAGUGGGGGAUAUUGCACAAUGGGGGAAACCCUGAUGCAGCGACGCCGCGUGAGUGAAGAAGUAAUUCGUUACGUAAAGCUCUAUCAGCAGGGAAGAAAAUGAC
rnacentral:rRNA from 1 species